CCUACGGGGGGCAGCAGUGAGGAAUAUUGGUCAAUGGUCGGGAGACUGAACCAGCCAAGUCGCGUGAGGGAAGACGGUCCUAUGGAUUGUAAACCUCUUUUGUCGGGGAGCAAAAGACGCCACGCGUGGUGUUCCGAGAGUACCCGAAGAAAAAGCAUCGGCUAACUCCGUGCCAGCAGCCGCGGUAAUACGGAGGAUGCGAGCGUUAUCCGGCUUUAUUGGGUUUAAAGGGUGCGCAGGGGGUCUGUUAAGUCAGCGGUCAAAGCCCGGGGCUCAACCCCGGCCCGCCGUUGAAACUGGCAGUCUCGAGUUGGAGAGAAGUAUGCGGAAGGCGCGGUGUAGCGGUGAAAUGCAUAGAUAUCGCGCAGAACUCCGAUUGCGAAGGCAGCAUGCCGGCUCCACACUGACGCUGAGGCACGAAAGCGUGGGUAUCGAACAGGAUUAGAUACCCGUGUAGUC
rnacentral:rRNA from 1 species